UACAGAGGUCCCGAGCGUUGUUCGGAUUUACUGGGCGUAAAGAGCGCGCAGGCGGUCGUUCAAGUCGCGUGUGAAAGCCCCCGGCUCAACUGGGGAGGGUCACGCGAUACUGAUCGACUCGAAGGCAGGAGAGGGUAGUGGAAUUCCCGGUGUAGUGGUGAAAUGCGUAGAUAUCGGGAGGAACACCAGUGGCGAAGGCGACUACCUGGCCUGUUUCUUGACGCUGAGGCGCGAAAACUAGGGGAGCAAACGGG
rnacentral:rRNA from 1 species